UCCGUUGGUGAACCAGCGGAAGGAUCAUUACCGAGUUGAUUCGGGCUCCGUCCCGAUCCUCCCACCCUUUGUAUACCUACCUCUGUUGCCUUGGCGGGCCGCGGUCUUCCGCGGCCGCCCCCCGAUUUUGGGGGGUGGCUAGUGCCCGCCAGAGGACUAUCAAACUCCAGUCAGUAAACGUUGCAGUCUGAAAAAAAUAUUAAAUAAACUAAAACUUUCAACAACGGAUCUCUUGGUUCUGGCAUCGAUGAAGAACGCAGCGAAAUGCGAUAAGUAAUGUGAAUUGCAGAAUUCAGUGAAUCAUCGAAUCUUUGAACGCACAUUGCGCCCCUUGGUAUUCCGGGGGGCAUGCCUGUUCGAGCGUCAUUUCAACCCUCAAGCUCUGCUUGGUAUUGGGCACCGUCCUUUGCGGGCGCGCCUCAAAGACCUCGGCGGUGGCGUCUUGCCUCAAGCGUAGUAGAAUACACCUCGCUUCGGAGCGUAAGGCGUCGCCCGCCGGACGAACCUUCUGAACUUUUCUCAAGGUUGACCUCGGAUCAGGUAGGGAUACCCGCUGAACUUAAGCAUAUCAAUAAGCGGAGGA
rnacentral:rRNA from 1 species